rnacentral:rRNA from 1 species
GGCGGCGUGCCUAAUACAUGCAAGUCGAACGAGUUCUCGUUGAUGAUCGUUGCUUGCACCGAGAUUCAACAUGGAACGAGUGGCGGACGGGUGAGUAACACGUGGGUAACCUGCCCUUAAGUGGGGGAUAACAUUUGGAAACAGAUGCUAAUACCGCAUAGAUCCAAGAACCGCAUGGUUCUUGGCUGAAAGAUGGCGUAAGCUAUCGCUUUUGGAUGGACCCGCGGCGUAUUAGCUAGUUGGUGAGGUAAUGGCUCACCAAGGCGAUGAUACGUAGCCGAACUGAGAGGUUGAUCGGCCACAUUGGGACUGAGACACGGCCCAAACUCCUACGGGAGGCAGCAGUAGGGAAUCUUCCACAAUGGACGCAAGUCUGAUGGAGCAACGCCGCGUGAGUGAAGAAGGCUUUCGGGUCGUAAAACUCUGUUGUUGGAGAAGAAUGGUCGGCAGAGUAACU